rnacentral:ncRNA from 1 species
GAUAAGUUUGGUUCUGGCUUAUAUUUCUUGGCUAUUGCUAUAUUAAAAUACAUGGUACCUAAGGGGAUCCGGUGAGGUUUAGCCAUUGAUGCGCCCUAAUGUUUAAUAUAUUUGGGCGUACAGUGUCUUAGUUUGGUAUUAUUUUUGAAGAUGAUGUCUUAUUUUAUUUUAUAGGUUCACUUUCACCAGUAUUGGAGGUUAAACAAUAAAUGUAAGUUUGAUUUAAUGAUUGGCGAAGGGGUUAAUUUGAAUCUUGAGAUCUGGUAAAGUCUCGUGCCAGCAACUGCGGUUAAACGAGCGGAUCGAGUUAAGAGUAGUCAGUAUAAAUGGGGUUAAUGAGGGUUGUGUGAGUGUAGUUAAAUCUUUAUUUGCAGAGGUGAAAUUUGGGCAAAUAGGGGUCUUUCUUGUUCUGCCUAUAUUGUCGUGAAUCCCCGAAACUUGGGUUAAAAGACCAGGGUUAGAAGCCUGUUAUUCUAAGUGUAAAUUUUUAGUGUUAUGCUUACUGGGGCACUACGGGCAUGUGUAAUAAUGUUAUGCGGAGUCUAAAACUCAAGGAACUUGGCGGUGCCUUAUGUCUGUCCAGGGGAACCUGUCUGUAACCGAUGAUCCGCGUAUUACCUGACCUUAUUUUGCUAUAUUAUAUAGUGGUGCGACACUAUAUAUAUAAUUCAGCCUGUAUAUCGUCGUCGUCAGGUCCCCCCUCGAGGGUUUUAGUGACCUAGAUGGCUGAGGCUUUGUUUAGCUUAAAUAGGGCUGUGUUGCCAUAAAGUCAGAUAGAGAUGCAGCCUAUAAUAAGGGGAGGAUGGGUUACAGUGGUAUAAUUUGCCUGUCGGAUUACGUUUUGCAAUAGUCGUAUGAAGUAGGACUUGGUAGUAAUUAUUUGUAUAAAAUUAGAAUGCGAUGGUGAAUUAAGUGAUUGGGGUGUGUACAAAUCGCCCGUCGCUCUCGUUGAAAAGUGAGAUAAGUCGUAACAUAGUGAGGGUACUGGAAAGUGUUCUCGUAAGAUA